GUAGGGAAUAUUGGGCAAUGGAAGCAAUUCUGACCCAGCCAUGCCGCGUGAAGGAAUACAGCCCUAUGGGUUUUAAACUUCUUUUAUUAUAGAGUAAACGGAGGUACGUGUACCUCCCUGCAAGUAUAUGAUGAAUAAGGAUCGGCUAACUCCGUGCCAGCAGCCGCGGUAAUACGGAGGAUCCAAGCGUUAUCCGGAUUUAUUGGGUUUAAAGGGUGCGCAGGCGGAUCAAUAAGUCAGGGGUGAAAAAUUUCAGCUUAACUGGAAUCGUGCCUUUGAUACUGUUGGACUAGAGUAUAAUUGACGUGACUGGAAUGUGAUGUGUAGCGGUGAAAUGCUUAGAUAUGUCACAGAACGCCAAUCGUGAAGACAGGUCACGAAAUUAUUUCUGACGCUCAUGCACGAAAGCGUGGGGAUCAAACAGGAUUAGAAACCCGUGUAGUCC
rnacentral:rRNA from 1 species